rnacentral:lncRNA from 1 species
NNNNNNNNNNNNNNNNNNNNNNNNNNUCUUCAGUCAGAUUCACUUAAAUUAUUGCUGAUGACCUAUUUUCUGGCAGUUCAUGUGUUAAACCCUAUUCAUUUUGAAAACAGUUCUAUGUAUUUCAUUAAAUAGUUAAGGAAAGGAGAGAAACCUGAGAUUUGUCCAACAUGCCAUGCAUUUAAGUAAAUAAUUAAAUAAUUUUAAGUAAAUUGUGCCUUCAUCUUGAGGACCUGGUGGUGUUGGGAUCUUUGCUAUAAAGGUCUCCACCCUGAACUCCCACACCAUGCUCCACAGUUGUGAGCCAAUACACUUUGUAUAUUGUACACCAGAAGCCUAAUUACAUGGUAGUUUUAGGUGCCAUGUCAAAGUGCUCCCCCCCCCCCUUGGGCUUGUCAAUUGGUGGACAAAAUCACUAUGUAGACCAUAGUGUCCUCAGACUUGUGGCAGUCCUCNAGCUUCUGUUUCCUAAUUCUUGGAUUUUAUAGGCUACCAUCCCACCUGACUCANGUGCUUAAGUUGUAGGAAAUACUGAGAGGGUUAGAACUGUAAAAACCUUCAAAGUAUUUUUGUGUUAAAUAUUUUAACUGCAAAGUUAAAGUAGAUAUUUAAGCACCUGAAGUAAUACAGUAAACACUAGGGAAAUUAGCUGUUUAGUAUUUUACUUGUUUAAGAUAUAACUAAAAAGACAAUUGUUAAAAACUGUAAAAAGCAAAUAUUAGAUUAUAAGUGCCUUUUCCAGUUUAGUACCAUAAGCAGGUGAGUUGUUCCAUUAUCUAUUGCCAGGCAAUUUUUAUUAAUCACACCUAAUAUGAUGACAGAUUUUAGUUUGUCAACAAAUGUGAAAUACUUAACCUUUCUGGUGCUAACAUGAGAUGAGAAAGACUUGAUGGUGGUAGUUUAUUUUACCCAGGGAGUUGUUUAUACUUGAGCCACUGAUUAAGGUUACAUGUAGUUCUUGGGUUUUUUUCUCUAAUGGAGGUUUCUUCCAAAUGGAGAUUUUACCUCAAAAAAAGGUUAAAUAGGAAAGUAACUUUUGUUUGUAUUGGGAGAGGAGGCUGGCAUCCCUUGUGCUGGAACGAAAGGUGUGCAGCACUACCAACAGGCUGAAAGUAACUUUUAAACAUCAGACCUAAAAAAAUUACUUUCUCAUGAGUGAAUUAAUCUACAUCUCUUUAAGACUUGAAAGAUAGCAUUACCUUUUUGUAUAGAUUUUAUAUUAAGAUGUUGGUAUAUAGUGAUAGGUUGUAGGGAGAAAGAUGUUAUUAAGAGUAAAANUGUAAAAUACGAUUAUCUUAAAUACUUCAAUGAUAUGAGGCUGAGGGGGGCAUUUUUUCNUUUUUUUAAAUGUAGCUCCUGUGAUGAGUCUGAAUAGUGGGUCUGGCUUCUAGGGGUAGAGUUUGCUAUUAUUAGCCUUCUCUUCCUCAUCUGUUCCAUCUGUGUAGGUGGUGGAACUAAGCUCGUUAAAAUGUGCUUUACAUUUUGUACCAGGAUUCUAGACNAGCUGGGCAUUUUGUCUCUUGGCUGCAAUCCCAGUCCUGGGAAGCUGAGGCAGGAGGAUUGCUAAGUGUUCUAGGGGAGACAUUUGCCUUUUAAAAGUAUGUGCAAACUGGGACUUACUACCUCAGAUUCCUGUAUAAAAUAGGGUAUGCUAGGAGAUGGGGUAAAUUAAGGGGAAACAUUAGGCAUUUUAACUGCCUAAUGCUUUAUUCUGAAACUAGAGAGAUAACUGCUGUUUGUACAAGUAUCUUCCCAGGAGCCUUUCCAGAUCUUCACACCUUAAAAAUUGCCCCCUUACCAAUUGUUGUUUAAGGGAAAAAUAAAAAUAAUAAGACUACUCAUACCCUGUAUUAUACAUUACAUCUAUGUGUAANNNNNNNNNNNNNNNNNNNNNNNNNNNNNNNNNNNNNNNNNNNNNNNNNNNNNNNNNNNNNNN